rnacentral:misc_RNA from 1 species
GAUGGAGAACGUAGCGAAAUGCGAUAAGUAAUGUGAAUUGCAGAAUUCAGUGAAUCAUCGAAUCUUUGAACGCACCUUGCGCUCCUUGGUAUUCCGAGGAGCAUGCCUGUUUGAGUGUCAUUAAUAUAUCAACCUUCUCUUUUUUGAGUUGUUUGGAUGUGGGGGUUUGCUGGCCUCUUAAAUGAUUCAGCUCCCCUGAAAUGCAUUAGCAGAACAACCUGUUCAUUAGCGUGAUAAUUAUCUAUGCUAUUGAAUGUGAGGGCAGUUCAGCUUUCUAACCGUCCUUGGACAAUUCAUCAUUAAUGUGACCUCAAAUCAGGUAGGACUACCCGCUGAACUUAAGCAUAUCAAUAAGCGGAGGA